rnacentral:rRNA from 1 species
UACAGAGGUCCCAAGCGUUGUUCGGAUUCACUGGGCGUAAAGGGUGCGUAGGUGGUGAGGUAAGUCGGAUGUGAAAUCUCCGGGCUCAACCCGGAAAUGGCAUUGGAAACUACCUUGCUAGAGGGUUUGAGGGGGGAUUGGAAUACUUGGUGUAGCAGUGAAAUGCGUAGAUAUCAAGUGGAACACCAGUGGCGAAGGCGAAUCCCUGGAAAACACCUGACACUGAGGCACGAAAGCUAGGGGAGCAAACAGG